rnacentral:rRNA from 1 species
UGACCUCAGCUCAGGAGAGAACACCCGCUGAGUUUAAGAAUAUAAUUAAGCGGAGGAAAAGAAACUUACAAGGAUUCCCCUAGUAGCGGCGAGUGAACCAGGAAGAGCCCAACAUGAAAAUCGGGUGGCAGCGUUGCAUGAAUUGUAGUUUGUAGAAGCGUCCUCAGCAGCGGACCUGGGCCAAGUCCCUUGGAAGGGGGCGCCUGAGAGGGUGAUAGCCCCGUUGGCCCGGGACCCUGCUGCAUCACGGGGCAUUGUCGGCGAGUCAGGUUGUCUGGGAAUGCAACCCUAAUUGGGUGGUAAAUUAUGUCCAAGGCUAAAUACGGGUGAGAGACUGAUAGCGAAAGAUGAAAAGGACUUUGAAAAGAGAGUUAAAGAGUGCUUGAAAUUACCAUGAGGGAAGCGGAUGGAGGCUUUCAAUGCGUUUCGGUUGGAUGUGGAAUGGCUCAGGCUGGUCCAUAGCUCGACUUGAGGUGCAAACAAACACGGGCUGCUGCAUUGUCACAAGCGCGGGUGGAUUUCCCCCUGUCAGUUUGCUGCUGCGAUGGUUGAGGAAUGAAGCAUGCACCCUUGUGGCGGGCUGUGUGCACCUGUGCGCUCGUGGUGUGUGCGAGUCGGCGGGUUUGAAAACUUGCGAGGCGCAAGGAAAUCUGACGGGCAAGAUCCCCUCUCUUGGGGGGUGCAUCGUCGACUGACCUUGAUCUUAUGCGAAGGGUUCGAGUGCGAGCACACCUGUUGGGACCCGAAAGAUGGUGAACUAUGCCUGAGUAGGGUGAAGCCAGAGGAAACUCUGGUGGAGGCUCGUAGCGAUACUGACAUGCAAAUCGUUCGUCUGACUUGGGUAUAGGGGCGAAAGACUAAUCGAACCAUAUACUAGCUAGUUUCCUCUGAAGUUUCCCUCGGGAUAGCUGGAGCUCACACGCGAGUUUUAUCAGGUAAAGAAAAUGAUUAGAGGCAUCGGCGGUGUAACACCCUCGACCUAUUCUCAAACUUUAAAUAGGUAAGAGGGUGCGGAUGCUCCAUUGAGCCGCACCGUGGAAUCGAGAGCUCCAAGUGGGCCAUUUUUGGUAAGCAGAACUGGCGAUGCGGGAUGAACCGAAAGUCGAGUUACGGUGGUGAAUUGCAUGCUAACCUAGAUCCCACAAAGGGUGUUGGUUGAUUAAGACAGCAGGACAGUGGUCAUGGAAGUCAAAAUCCGCUAAGGAGUGUGUAACAACUCACCUGUCGAAUCAACUAGCCCCGAAAAUGGAUGGCGCUGACCUAUACUCGACCGUUGAAGCAAUUGCCUGGCUCCGAUGAGUAGGAGGAUGUGGGGGUCAUUGAGAAACCUCGGGCGUGAGCUUGGGUGGAUCGGCGCCCGCUGCAGAUCUUGGUGGUAGUAGCAAAUAUUCAAAUGAGAACUUUGAAGACUGAAGUGGGGAAAGGUUCCAUGUGAACAACACUUGGACUUGGGUUAGUCGAUCCUAAGAGAUGGGGAAGCCUUGUAUCAAGGGUGCACUCUGCACGAGCAUCGAAAGGGAAUCAGGUUAAUAUUCCCGAACUGGGACAUGGCAGCGGGCAGCAACGUUAGGAAAUCCACAGACAUCAUCAAGGGCCCUGGGAAGAGUUAUCUUUUCUUUUUAAUAGCUUUCCCACCCUAGAAUUGGUUCACCCGUAGAUAGGGUCCAGCAGCUAGAAGAGCACCACACAUCUUGUGGUGUCCAGUGCACCCUCGAAGGCCCUUGAAAAUCUGGAGGACCGAGUACCGUUCAUGCCCGGUCGUACUCAUAACCGCAUUAGGUCUCCAAGGUGAACAACCUAUAGUCAAUAAAAUAAUGUAGGUAAGGGAAGUCGGCAAAAAGGAUCCGUAACUUUAGGAAAAGGAUUGGCUCUAAGGGUUGGGCCUAGGGGUCUGCGUCGUCAACUCAUGGGCUAUCGGCAGUCUUCCCGAGCUGCUCUCAUGGCGAGGGCAGGCAGUCGCGUGUCGAUUGGGCUACAGGUGUAGAAUGCCCCCUGCCGGGGGCUUUUCCCUAGGCGUCGAACAGUCAACUCAGAACUGGUAUGGACAAGGGGAAUCCGACUAUUUAAUUAAAAAAAAACAUUGCGAUGGUCCCUGCGAAUGCUGACGUAAUGUGAUUUCUGCCCAGUGCUCUGAAUGUUAAAGUGAAGAAAUUCAACCAAGCGCGAGUAAACGGUGGGAGUAACUAUGACUCUCUUAAGGUAGCCAAAUUCCUCGUCAUCUAAUUAGUGACAUGUAUGAAUGGAUUAACGAUAUUCCCACUAUCCCUAUCUACUAUCUAGCAAAACCAUAGCCAAGGGAACAGGCUUGGCAGAAUCAGCGGGGAAAGAAGACCCUGUUGAGCUUGAAUCUAGUCCAACUUUGUGAAAUGACUUGAGAGGUGUAGAAUAAGUGGGAGCCGUUUUCGGUGCAAGUGAAAUACCACUACUUUUAACGUUAUUUUACUUAUUUCGUUGGGCGGAGAUGGGGCACUGCCCCUGUUUUUGGCCUUAAGGCACGUUUCGGCAGGUCGAUCUAGGCGGAAGACAUUGUCAAGUGGGGAGUUUGGCUGGGGCGGCACAUCUGUCAAAAGAUAACGCAGGUGUCCUAAGAUGAUCUCAACGAGUACAAAAAUCUCGUGUGGAACAAAAGGAUAAAAGCUCAUUUGAUUUUGAUUUUUAGUAUGAAUACAAACCGUGAAAGCAUGGCCUAUCGAUCCUUUAGAUUUUCAAAAUUUGAAGCUAGAGGUGUCAGAAAAGUUACCAUAGGGAUAACUGGCUUGUAGCAGGAAGCGUUCAUAGCGACGUUGCUUUUUGAUCCUUCGAUGUCGAAUCUUCCUAUCAUUGUGAAGCAAAAUUCGCCAAGUGUUGGAUUGUUCACCCACCAAUAGGGAACGUGAGAUGGGUUUAGACCAUCGUGAGACAGGUUAGUUUUACCCUCCUGAUGAACCGCACCGAAAUAGUAAUUCAACUUAGUACAAGAGGAACCGUUGAUUCACACAAUUGGUCAUCGCGCUUGGUUGAAAAGCCAGUAGCGCAAAGCUACCGUGUGUCAGAUUAUGACUGAACGCCUCUAAGUCAAAAUCCAUUCUAGAAGUGGUGCAUGUCACUCUUCGACUGUAUCUCGACCCGCAGUAGGGGCGUCACUUUGUCGCCCCCAGGGGCCCGUGUCAUUUGCAAACCGCGAUCAUCAAGCAUCUCGGUUGGGGCAGCUUUGAAGUUCAAUUCCAAAUGGUCGUUGAGAAGAAUCCUUUGCAGAUGAUUUAAAUAC